AUUCGUAUAUGUAUUCCGGAGAGAGAAAACAGCCCGCUCGUCUCUCUCGUUCGAGUGCAAGAUUCACACGUGAUCUUGAACAAAUGGAGGAUUAGAGGUCUUCCAACUCGAGUUCAGAUCUGCUACAAACUACUCUCACAACAUCGUUCCAAUAAGUCACUGCAACCGUACAUCGGGAACAUCUCCGGCGAUACUUCCAAUGCACGCUGAGAUGUGCGAGUGGGGCGCCAAUCCUAACUCCUCCAAUUUCAUCCUUCCUCCGUCUAGGGGAUUUGGGGACGUUGCAUCAUAUUCUCUGAGGAAGCUACAAGUGAGCAAUGGUUGAUAGAGACACCUUGUUGAAAGUCAUCAUUUGCAGUCUGUGCAUUGGAAUUGGAACAAGAGAAUAUCAUUAUUAAUGCACUCAUUGCAGCUUAUGCAGAUGAUCUUUACAAUGCCGAGUUAAUUAAAGAAUUAAAUUCCUCUGCAAAUGCAAGAAUAGAUAAGCU